CUCAGGGUUCUUUAACCACUUCUCUUGACUUAUCCUCCUUGGUGACCUUGGUUAACCUCCAGCGCAGAAAGAUGACUUUCGACGAACUCAUGAAUGAGGAAUUGUAUUAUAACCCCUACUGUUACAAGGGCUGGCGCGGCUAUAGAGGCCAUUAUGGCUGCUAUAGGCCCUGGGGUUACCAGAGGCCAUACAGGUAUGGGUGGGGCCAUCAGUAUGAUUGCCACUACCCUUACCGAUGGGGCCAUGGGUACGGCUAUGGAAAGUUCUGGCCAUGUUUCGCCGAGGAGCAAUAGACCCGGAACAAGGAACAACCCGGAAACGUAAAGCGAGUUACGGAAUCACAGCUGGGCUCACGGGCAAUGGCUUUCGGAAAUGCUGAUUGCGCACAACUCCCAUGGGAGCUGUGAGUCCUCAGCACCUCCGUAAAUCUUCCCCUUUCUGCAUUUCCCAGGUCACAAUUCAUGACCGUUUCCUCUAAUGCUUUCCGUGCUCACUCUCUGCUGCUUCUAUACCUAUCUGAAGGCCUGAAUCUCACCUCCAUGUAGGCCCGUUUAGGCCACCCUGACAUUGUACUUUAAGCAAGGGCCUUAAGGUUCACAGAAAUGACAUUUAAACUCACUUGAAGACUUCUUACAGAGCAGUGCACACGGGUCUUUGUGGCAAUGAGAAUUAGGCCCUGGGUUUUCUAGGCUUUUCAUGAGUAUGUACUCUUUGUCUCUGGCUUUAAUUUUGCUACAGAAAAUGUAUCAUGGAGAAGCAGCUUAGGGCUCUGCUCAUGUUGGGAUUUGUCUCAUCUGACCCUGACUGGGAUGAAACAAAUACCUUGAAAUGGUUACAAACAGGACUUGAAUGUCAAACGCUACAGCUGCCAUGAAGAAAGAAGAACAUCUGGUGUGAAAUGUCUCACCUUGGAACGGGUGAUUCAUUCUUAACUAUCUCGAAACCCUGGAAAUAGAUUCUUUUUAUUUCUGUCUGUUUCCGUGUGCUCCUCUUCUAAUUCACAUUAAACUGAUUCUGCAUUAUAA